GGCGACAUAGCCAAGCGGUAAGGCAGAGGUCUGCAAAAUCUCCACCACCGGUUCGAUUCCGGUUGUCGCCUCCA
rnacentral:tRNA from 2 species